rnacentral:rRNA from 1 species
CCUACGGGAGGCAGCAGUGAGGAAUAUUGGUCAAUGGACGAGAGUCUGAACCAGCCAAGUAGCGUGAAGGAUGACUGCCCUAUGGGUUGUAAACUUCUUUUAUAUGGGAAUAAAAUGUUCCACGUGUGGGAUUUUGUAUGUACCAUAUGAAUAAGGAUCGGCUAACUCCGUGCCAGCAGCCGCGGUAAUACGGAGGAUCCGAGCGUUAUCCGGAUUUAUUGGGUUUAAAGGGAGCGUAGGUGGAUUGUUAAGUCAGUUGUGAAAGUUUGCGGCUCAACCGUAAAAUUGCAGUUGAAACUGGCAGUCUUGAGUACAGUAGAGGUGGGCGGAAUUCGUGGUGUAGCGGUGAAAUGCUUAGAUAUCACGAAGAACUCCGAUUGCGAAGGCAGUUCACUGGACUGCAACUGACACUGAGGCUCGAAAGUGUGGGUAUCAAACAGGAUUAGAUACCCGAGUUC